UACGGAGGGUGCAAGCGUUGUUCGGAAUUAUUGGGCGUAAAGGGCAGGUAGGCGGUCUUGAAAGUCUACUGUGAAAUCCCCGGGCUUAACCUGGGAAGUGCGGUGGAUACUCCAAGACUAGAGUGCUGGAGGGGUGCGUGGAAUUCCCGGUGUAGCGGUGAAAUGCGUAGAGAUCAGGAAGAACACCGGUGGCGAAGGCGGGUCUCUGGGCAAUAACUGACGCUGAGGAGCGAAAGCGUGGGGAGCGAACAGG
rnacentral:rRNA from 1 species